GCCUGCGUGGCUCAGUCGGUUAAGCGUCUGACUUCGGCUCAGGUCAUGAUCUCCCGGUCUGUGGGUUCGAGCCCCACGUCAGGCU
rfam:Felis catus isolate Cinnamon breed Abyssinian chromosome C1, whole genome shotgun sequence.